UUUUAAGUCCAAUCUGCCCAAUGAAAAUUUUUAAAAAGCUGCAGUAUAAAUAACUGUACUAAGGUAGCAUAAUAACUUGUUUUUUAAUUAAAAACUAGAAUGAAAGAUUUAAUGAAAUAWAUACUUUAUUAAUAAAAUAAAUUUAAAUUUUUAUUUAUAUAAAAAAAUAUAAAUAUUUUAAAAAGACGAUAAGACCCUAUAAAAUUUAAUUUUAAUAAUAAUAAUAAUUUAUAAAUAAUAUAAUAUUAAAAUUAUUAAAAUUUUAUUGGGGUAAUAUAAAAAUUAAAAAAACUUUUUAUUAGUAAAACAUUAAUUAAUGAAUUAAAAAUCUUAAAAUUUAAAUUAAUAAAAUUAAUUACUUUAGGGAUAACAGCGUAA
rnacentral:rRNA from 1 species